rnacentral:rRNA from 1 species
AGUAGUGUAUGCUUCUCCUAAAGACUAAGCCAUGCAUGCCUUUGAAUAAGAGGAAGCAAUUCUCUCUGAAUCUGCGAACGGCUCCGCAAACCAGUUGUAAACUAUAGCAAGCAAUCCUGUGGCUGGGUUUCGGCCUGGKCAUGGGUAAAAUGGAUAACCAUGGKAAUUCUGAGGCUAAUACAAGAACGUACUCCCUGGCUGACCGGCAACGGAAGGCUGGGGAGCGUGCAACGUAUCGUAAGACAAACCGGGAAUGGGUGCACGCUUGGACCGCGCAAAAAACAGAUCUUGGCGAGCCUUCGGGUGAGCCUUGGCCUGAGCGGCUCUUGCUGUGUGCUUCUGACCUAUCAACUAGAUGGCAGCGUAACGGACAUGCUAUGGUUACAACGGGUACAGAGGAUUAGGGUUCGAUCCUGGAGAGUGGGCCUGAGAGAUUGCUCAUACUUCUAAGGAAGGCAGCAGGCGCGCAACGUUCCCCUUGGGCAAUGCCCGAGGGCGUUAGGGGACAUAUGAAUGCCUGCCAUAUUGGUGGGCAAUUCAAAUGGGUCUGUUCUAAACAGCCUCU